CUUGGGGAUAAAUUGAGAAGACUUGUAUUUAAGGUUAAACCUGUAUGCAGUUUAUUAUUAUUAUUUAUUACUGCUGUUUGUUUGUUUUUCCUUCACAAUUUAGCAGAAAUUAUGUGUCAGAAAGUUAAGAACACUUAGGAGUAAACCUUCGGCUGCUGAGCAAAGUAUACUUCUAACUUAUGAGAAGUCACCCAUAUGUGAUGCAGAGAGCAAAAUAAUUAAUGAAACUAGACUCAAAGUAAUUAUAUAAUACUUUAACAUUUACUGUGCAUUAAGCAGGAGAAGCAACUCAGGCUUUUUUUCUUCCCAACCUGCACAGUUUGUGAUCCUGUAUAUCCCGGUAUGUGUAAGGCCAUGGACAAAACCAGUACUGGUUCCCUUGAAGAACUCUGUGGGUAAAAGCACUGGAUACUUCCACAUGCAAGUGGCUGCAGUUAAGCAUCCCAGGAAAUCUCUGCCAGCCAUAUUCCCUGAACCCUUCUGUCUU
rnacentral:lncRNA from 1 species